GGCCUUGCGCGCGCUCCCCGCGUGGGAUGACCAGAAUGCACGUGCCUUGGUUGCAGAGUGAGCCCCUCAGCCCCGAAUCUGGAGUGGCCGCGGCCGGGAAACAGGAACCCGGGUUUAUUAUUAGCCGUCGGGGAAGAGGGGCCGGCAGCAGUUCCAACAGUGUGAUAACACACGGAAAACGGAAAUCCAAGGGAUCUAGCAAAAGGAUUCCACCCAGCAAAAACGCCAGCUUGGGAGAGGGCCCCUACCUAACUCCUUCCUUCUGGCCUCCACCCCUCCCCUGAUACGUUUCCUUCCGUCUAGUCUCGAGAUAACCCUUCAUCCCCCAGUUUCUUGACUCUGGCCGCUGUUCUUGAACAUUUCUUAAACACUUUCA
ensembl:lncRNA MID1IP1-AS1 MID1IP1 antisense RNA 1